UACAAAAGGUGCAAGUGUUAUUCAGAUCGAUUGGGCGUAAAGGGUUAGUAGGCGGUUAAUGACAUGAUAUUAUUAAAAACUUUAGAGAAAAAUAAAGUCAAAAUGGUUUCGUAAGCUUAACUUGAGUUGUAUGGAGUUAUGAGUUAUACUGAUUGUAAACGGUAACAUGUACUGAUAAGAGGUGGAGCGCCAAAAUGUAGGUUUCAAUUUAUAUACAACUGACGCUGAGGGACGUAAGUGCGGGGAUCAAAUAGG
rnacentral:rRNA from 1 species